UACGUAGGGGGCGAGCGUUUGUCCGGAGUUACUGGGCGUAAAGCGCACGCAGGCGGUCUGCUAAGUUUGGAGUGACAGUUGGUGGCUUAACUGCCAAAGUGCUUCGAAAAACUGACAGACUUGAGGGCUUCAGAGGGACACGGAAUUCCGGGUGGAGUGGUGAAAUGCGUAGAGAUCCGGAGGAACACCAAAGGCGAAGGCAGUGUCCUGGGGAGUACCUGACGCUCGAGGUGCGAAAGCCAGGGGAGCGAACGGG
rnacentral:rRNA from 1 species